AUUGUAACCAUACUUAGAGAGGUUCAUUCAUACAGACACAAUCGCAAGGUAUUGUAACCAUACUUAGAGAGGUCCAUUCAUACAGACACAAUCGCAAGGUAUUGUAACCAUACUUAGAGAGGUUCAUUCAUACAGACACAAUCGCAAGGUAUUGUAACCAUACUUAGAGAGGUACAUUCAUACAGACACAAUCGCAAGGUAUUGUAACCAUACUUAGAGAGGUACAUUCAUACAGACACAAUCGCAAUGUAUUGUAACCAUACUUAGAGAGGUCCAUUCAUACAGACACAAUCGCAAUGUAUUGUAACCAUACUUAGAGAGGUCCAUUAUACUGACACAAUCACAAGGUAUAUAUUGUAACCAUACUUAGAGAGGUCCAUUCAUACAGACACAAUCGCAAGGUAUUGUAACCAUACUUAGAGAGGUACAUUCAUACAGACACAAUCGCAAUGUAUUGUAACCAUACUUAGAGAGGUCCAUUCAUACAGACACAAUCGCAAGGUAUUGUAACCAUACUUAGAGAGGUUCAUUCAUACAGACACAAUCGCAAGGUAUUGUAACCAUACUUAGAGAGGUCCAUUCAUACAGACACAAUCGCAAGGUAUUGUAACCAUACUUAGAGAGGUUCAUUCAUACAGACACAAUCGCAAGGUAUUGUAACCA